rnacentral:rRNA from 1 species
AUGCCCUCCACGUACGUCACGCCGGACCUCUUCUUCGCCGCCGCCGCCGCCGGCGCGCCGGCGAGCUGCGGGAGCGUGGCCACGGAGAGCGACGCCAUCGGUCGAGCUCGGCUGAACCUGCAGUCAGUCAGAGACAAGCAAGGGCUGCGUAAUCCGUCGCGAGCUGCGAUGAUCUGGUGCGGGGAAUGUGGGUUGGGUUGCUUGCUUACCUCCGGUGGUUGUCGAGUUCUUGGCGCUGGAGGAGGAAGGAGUGUGGCCGGCUGCGGUGCUUGGGGUUGGGUGGGUCACAUAGAGGGAAAGGAGUGGUUUUUGUACGGGGGAUCAGGGAAGGAUAAGGUGCGGGAGGGAACGGGCGGUGGCCGGAGGGCAGUUUAUCCUUGCUCCUCGAAAGGAGAAGGUCCAAUUGGUGGCUAG